AGUUGGUGGUGAAAUCCCAGAGCUUAACUCUGGAACUGCCAUCAAAACUUUUCAGCUAGAGUAUGAUAGAGGAAAGCAGAAUUUCUAGUGUAGAGGUGAAAUUCGUAGAUAUUAGAAAGAAUACCGAUUGCGAAGGCAGCUUUCUGGAUCAUUACUGACACUGAGGAACGAAAGCAUGGGUAGCGAAGAGGAUUAGAUACCCUCGUAGUCCAUGCCGUAAACGAUGUGUGUUAGACGUUGGAAAUUUAUUUUCAGUGUCGCAGCGAAAGCGAUAAACACACCGCCUGGGGAGUACGACCGCAAGGUUAAAACUCAAAUGAAUUGACGGGGACCCGCACAAGUAGUGGAGCAUGUGGUUUAAUUCGAAGAUACGCGCAGAACCUUACCAACACUUGACAUGUUCGUCGCGACUCUAAGAGAUUAGAGUUUUCGGUUCGGCCGGACGAAACACAGGUGCUGCAUGGCUGUCGUCAGCUCGUGUCGUGAGAUGUUGGGUUAAGUCCCGCAACGAGCGCAACCCUCACUUUUAGUUGCCAUCAUUAAGUUGGGCACUCUGAAAGAACUGCCAGUGAUAAGCUGGAGGAAGGUGGGGAUGACGUCAAGUCCUCAUGGCCCUUACGUGUUGGGCUACACACGUGCUACAAUGGUAUCUACAACAGGAAGCAAAACUGCGAGGUUAAGCAAAUCCCUAAAAGAUACCUCAGUUCGGAUUGCACUCUGCAACUCGAGUGCAUGAAGCUGGAAUUACUAGUAAUCGUGGAUCAGCGUGCCACGGUGAAUGCGUUCCCGGGUCUUGUACACACCGCCCGUCACACCAUGGGAGUUGGUUCUACCUUAAGGCAAGGUUUAAAACCCUGAC
rnacentral:rRNA from 1 species